AUACCUAUCAUCUCCCUAUCGUCUCAGUUCCAACCCGCCUCAAGCCCUCACUCCCUCUCUUCCACCUCUUCACCCUUGCAGAAUACUGAAGCUCUUCCACCAUCGCAGAAGACUGAAGCUCUUCCACCCUCUUCCAUCGUCGCAGAAUAUUGAGACUCUUCCACCCUCUUCCAGCAGCACAAGCUGAAUGACCCAAUCGUUUCAACAUCGACUCUUACUCUUCAGAUCUGGACACAUAUAUAUGCUAUUUGCAAUUUGUGUUCAUUUUAGGGUUUGGAAAAAGGCGGCUUAAUGAAAAAAGGGGCCUUUUUUUUUCAUCAAAGCUCUAGCUGCGCGAAAAUCCACUUCGCACACAUCGAUCCAUCAACCAAAAUCUUCGCGAGUUUCACCUUCACAAGAACAUAACCCAGGUUCCCCGCUAGCGCAAAUUGAUCUUUUGAUCAAAUUCACUAUCCGAUUCCAAAUAAAAAACAAAAAAAAUCACUAUCUUUCUUCCUCCUAAUCUCUCCCCAGUUUUCGCCUCUUUUUAUCUCAAAAACCCUAGAUUUAUCUUUGUUAGAUGUGCCCUCAUCUAACAAGUUUGGUGCAAAAUCGGCCGGUUUGUUAACCUGAGCCCAAGAGGCACCUAUUGGUCUCAUUAGGUCUGAGGCUUUUCAUCUGAAUCUGCCCGGGUAGUCAGCCAAACCCAUCAACACCACCUUGAAGCAUCAACACCAUCCACUUAGCUUACCUUGCUGAUCCGUGUUUAAAUGCUAUCUCGUGAGGCGAAAGGAUGGGAUUGGGGCUCAAACUAGAUUACCCUUGUUCAGACUCCCUAAGAUACGAAGAAGCGAAGUGUUUAAAAGGAUCACAGCCAUCACAGAACCUGUUAUUUUCUCCAUCAACAAUAGAUUGAAGCCCUUAAAUCUCUGUAUCCAAGUGAAGCUGACAAGCAUUUGUUGUCUCGGCAUACUGGUUUGUCCCAAUAUCAGAAACUCACACACACCAUAUUCACACAAGGCGCUUGGUAAUUUCAUGGUGAGUAGAAGGUAGAAGAAGACAAAAUGAUGCAUAUAUGCUAUUUCAUGCAACAUGUACAUCCCUAUAUCAGCAACAGCAGCAGCAGCCGCCACCAUGGUUCCACCAACAACAGUCUCCAUCAGAUUUCCAACAGCAGCGAGCCGCACCAAACUGGCAUCAACAGCCGCCGCCACCUCCAGCAGACUCUCUUUUUCAGCAGCCACCACCAACAAGGUGGCACCUGCAAGCACCACCACAACCACCAACAGAAUGAAUAAUGGAUCUUGAAGAGGAUGGAACAAUUUUUUGUGCUACCUUUUAGUUUAGAAAACUGGGGAGCAGUUUUAGUUUUUGUUUAGAAAACUGGAGAUUUUAUGGAUCUUGAAUAUAUGUAUUGUAGAUUUAUUUUGUUUUAUGGCCAGUAAUAUCUUUUUGAAUGUUAUUGUGGAUCUAUUUUAUUUAUGUUUUGCAUGUAUUCAAAAUGGUUAAACCCACAAAUCAAGCAUAAAAUAAAAAAUAAAAAAAAGAAAAAAAAAAAGAGAAGAAAUUUAAGUAUUAGGGACAGUCUA